GAUGAACGCUAGCUACAGGCUUAACACAUGCAAGUCGCGGGGCAGCAUGGGGGUUGCUUGCAAUCCCCGAUGGCGACCGGCGCACGGGUGAGUAACGCGUAUCCAACCUGCCCUUCACCACGGGAUAACCCGGCGAAAGUCGGACUAAUACCGUAUGUUGUCCAUUGACGGCAUCCGAUUUGGACGAAAUGCUUGGCGGUGAGGAUGGGGAUGCGCCCGAUUAGCCAGUCGGCGGGGUAACGGCCCACCGUGGCUACGAUGGGUAGGGGUUCUGAGAGGAAGGUCCCCCACACUGGAACUGAGACACGGUCCAGACUCCGACGGGAGGCAGCAGUGAGGAAUAGUGGUCAAUGGGCGUAAGCCUGAACCAGCCAAGUAGCGUGCAGGAUGACGGCCCUAUGGGUUGGAAACUGCUUUUAUGCGGGGAUAAAGUGGCCCACGUGUGGGCUUUUGCAGGUACCGCAUGAAUAAGGACCGGCUAAUUCCGU
rnacentral:rRNA from 1 species